GGGUGCCGCUGCCGUUUUUCAUGGUUGCUCCUGUCUCCUCCACAACCAAAACCCUCAAAAUAAACCCCAAGAGUAACAACUGAAAACAGAUACAAGCAGCUCGACAUCAGCUUCAAUGGCGGCGAAGAAACAUGAGAGCAGCAACUUGAAGAACAGAAAGCGAAACCCAGAUGCCAAGACUGGCACGGAUGGCUCAGCUUCCAAAAAGCCGAAGCUUGUUAGCUCUAAUACCCAGACGGAGAGACUGAAGAAACCUUUCAAGCCCGUCAAGAAGGCUCAGAAGCCGAAUGCAUCUGAGUUGAGAAAAUCAGAAUCCGGGAAAGAGAAGCAUGCGCCCAAAACAAAGCGAGAGCGCCGACUUCAUGCCAAGGAAUUAGCAGAGGCUAGGAAGAAGAAGAGAAAGCGUCAUUACACUCUGGAGCAAGAACUCGCUUCUCUCUGGGAGAAGAUGAGGCAGCGAAAUAUUGCCAAAGAAGAAAGAUCUAAGUUAAUUAGUGAAGCUUUACAAAAGAUGAAGGGGAAGAUUCCAGAAAUUGCUAGCUCCCAUGUUUCUUCUCGAGUUUUGCAGACCUGUGUUAAGUAUUGUUCUGAAACUGAAAGAGAUGCUGUAUUUGAGGAGCUCAAGCCACAUUUUCUUAACUUUGCAUGCAACACUUAUGCAGUUCAUCUAGUAAAGAAAAUGUUAGACAAUGCUUCUAAAAAACAGCUGGCAGAGUUUAUCUUGAACCUCCAUGGGCAUGUUGCUUCUCUUCUUCGACACAUGGUUGGAUCUGUUGUUAUUGAGCAUGCAUACCAACUUGCAAAUGCAACUCAAAAGCAGGAGCUUCUUAUGGAAUUAUAUUCUACUGAGCUUCAGUUGUUCAAGGACCUUACCUUAAUGAAGGAGAGCAGAUUGCUUGAUGUGAUCUCAAAGUUGAACCUGCAGAAGGGUUCAGUCUUGCGACACAUGACUUCUGUGGUUCAACCAAUUCUAGAAAAAGGAAUAGUUGACCACUCUAUCAUACACAGGGUGCUGAUAGAGUAUUUCAGCAUUGCUGAUAAGUCUUCUGCAGCAGAAGUAAUUCAGCAAUUAUCAGGUCCACUUCUUGUUCGAAUAAUCCAUACAAGAGAUGGAUCCAGGAUUGGUAUGCUCUGUGUUAAACAUGGGAGUGCUAAGGUCUGUUGCAAGUGGUCUGAUCUUUUUAUCUAUAAAGAAAGAGAAUGCUAAUAGUUUAUUUUUGUAACCAUUUGCAAAGUGGUGUCCUUAUCUCUUUAGAUUGUAAGUUGCUAUUCCUUAUCUCUUUAGAUUGUAAGUUGCUAUUUGUUGUUUUCCUUAUAUCUAGGAAAGAAAGAAGAUUGUGAAAGGAAUGAAAGGCUACGUGGGCAAGAUAGCUCAUGAUCAAUAUGGGAGCUUGGUACUUUCCUACCUUGUUUCAACUGUUGAUGACACAAAGCUUAUUACAAAGACUGUCAUUCGCGAACUUCAAACAAUGUUAAAGGAGCUUGUUUUGGAUAAGAAUGGAAGGCGCCCAUUGCUGCAGCUCCUCCAUCCAAACUUUUCACGUUAUUUCAGUCCAGAUGAUAUAGCUGCUUUCAAUUUAUCUAUUCCCUCUCUCAAUGCCAAGAGUGAAUUGGAAGUAAAAUCUGGCACAUAUCCUUCAAAAGAUGAAAAAUCUAGUGAUGAGGACAAUAGUACCAAAGCUACAGUGGUUGGGGCCAAUGAAAGUGCAAGUUCUGAGAAUGUUCACUUCAUUGAGGGUGGAAAGAAAGAUCCUUCUCUAAGACGGCGAGAAUUGCUGGUCGACAAUUGCCUUGCUGAGAAUCUAAUCGACGUAUGUAUUGAGAAUGCAGCAGAGUUACUCAGAUCAAAUUUUGGCAAAGAAGUCUUGUAUGAGGUUGCAACUGGGGGUGCCGAUGGCAUUCUCCACCCAGUGUUGGAUGAGAAGUUGAAUUCUUUGCAUGAAGCUAUAGCAUCUCUUGCAGCAGAGCCUAAAUCUGAAGAAUCUGGAGAGGAGCAUGUCUUAGAAAAUUUCCACUCCAGUAGAACCAUUAGAAAAUUAAUUAUUGAUAACCCUACCUUUGCUACUACUUUAUGGAUGAAAGCUUUGAAAGGGAACUGUGGGUUGUGGGCCCAAGGUCACAGUUCUAAAGUAAUAUGUGCAUACUUGGAAUCUUCAUAUGCCAAAAUCAACAAACUAGCCAAUGAAGAGCUUCGGCCAUUGAUAGAUAGUGGUAUUCUCAGAAAACCUGAGAACAAGCAACCUGGAAAAGAAGGGUGAGAUGCUCAUUAAGGAUGCAAUGAUUUUUCCUUGAAGAGAUGGGCAUAGCAUCUGGUGGAUCACUGGUGAAACUAAAGCAAUUUUGUUUUUCAUCUCAGCCAAGAGUGAAAUUUCUUUCAAUGCAAAGAAAGAAUAGGGCAGAGUUCCUGCAAACUGCAAAAAUGAGACCAUUUUAUGUUAUGCAACAUUUUUGUACAACAAAAUUUCCUACAAUAUAGUUUCGUUCUGUUGCCUAUCCCUGUUUCUCUUGCACUGAAUGAGACUUCCUUAAUACUGUCCUAUUUAUAAAGUCAUAAAGGCAUCUGAACAAUAUUUGGUUCUCUAGUGAUCCUAUGCCAGUAAAUUAGAAAUGAUAGAAAAAAAAUAUGGAAAAAUUUCUCCUUGACAGAUAUCACAGAAUUCUAGUGAAACACUUUAUUCUGAUUUAUGAACCAACACAAGCAGAUUUGGUCUUAAAAAUUCUUCUGUGUGGUCUGUUCUCAAAGAUCGGUGAAUCAUAUCUUGCUGUUUCUUGGUCUUGAUUUGAUGAAUUUUGUCUCUGUGAGUACCGGACGUCCUCGGGUUUAUCGUAUACUCGGUUCCUGUUGUGAGGGUAGCCUGCAAAUAGGUAGUCGGAUGGAUCAAAAAUUGGGGAUUCUUUUCGUGACCUGCACCGAGUGUUGCUCUGGUAUAGGUGGUCAGGGGCAUUGAACAAUGGAGAUCCUUUCCUUAAUGCAGCAUUAGCCUUCAAACAGUUCUCCAUUAACUUGGCUUCUUCUUUGAAUCUUUCUCUGAUGUCUUUCAGACCUUGCAGAAUUCUGCUUGAUCUUGAGUGGUUUGCAGGAUUCAAUUCCUGGAGUUUUGAUGUAUAUACGUUGCUAGAAGAAUUGCAGCGAAUGUAUGGAACUCCAUUGCACUCAAAGCAGAAGUUUUUCCCUCUCUCCAAGUUGAAGGCUCUUCUCUUUACAUUGUCAGAGAGACACGAAUAAGCCUGCAACUAAGAUCGAUUCCCACUGAGAAAGCAAGAAAACAAUAAAAUAAAGAUGAGCAACAGAGCCAUUUGCUCAUCUUUAGUUUGAUGAAGACAACAUGAACAGCUAAAUGCAAAUUAAUCAGUCUUACCUAACCUGCGGAUAAUGUUGGUGAAAUUUGGCUGUCUAAAAGUGUUUUCUACUGUUAAAUUAAUUGCUAUGUUCCAUAUUUAUGGUCUUGUCAGGCCAGUGAAUCCUAUGCUGUACGUGCAGUCCUGGAAACGUCUCUGAUACUAAAACUCAUAUAAUCCAUUCAAUGAGUUGAACAAUGAGCUGCAUUUGCAAGACCAAUUUUUACUUCACAAGCUUCUUUCACAGGUCAUGGCAUGACUCUGUUUCUUAUGGAUGUUUUACAAUAUUAACAACAGAUACCAAGAAGUGAUUUUUCAAUUUUAUAUCCCUCAGGAAACAUAAUUCUUAAUAAAGUAAAUGCAAUAAACCAAUGUAUUAAAUACAUGAUUUUGUCUAAUGCUAUGAAAUUCUUGAACAUAACAAUGCAGGAUUUAAUUCCGAAACAAAAUCAACCCCAUUACAUGGAAAAAGGAUAGUAUCCAACCUCCAAGACAAGCUUAAAGGCAAUCUCAGCCUUGGGGUGCUCGUUCUUAUCUGGAUGAAGCUGCAAAGCAAGUUUAUGAUACCGCUUUCGUAUAACAUCCAUCUCUGCAUCUUCCUCUACUCCGAGCAGGCGAUACCAGUCGAUGAAAUGAGACUUAACAGGCCUAAAAUUAUGCCUAUGAGAACAAGAAAUGGAGCGGGUGGACAGAGAGCAAAUUUCCAACACCAACUGGGAUUUGACGGUAUCAGAUUCUUUACCCAUUUUAGAGAAAGAAAAUGGAUAGUGAACAAGAAAAAUGGAGUAUGUGGAAUUUAAAUGUGGGUGUGCGUUUUCUUGGUUUUUUAUUUCAACAAGAAUUAAGAAGGUGGAGCGGUUAAGAAAAAAGAGCAAAGUUUGCGGGAGAGAUUUUUG
rnacentral:misc_RNA from 1 species